rnacentral:rRNA from 1 species
UACGGAGGGUGCAAGCGUUAUCCGGAUUCACUGGGUUUAAAGGGUGCGUAGGCGGUCAGGCAAGUCAGUGGUGAAAUCCCCGAGCUUAACUUGGGAACUGCCAUUGAUACUAUUUGUCUUGAAUACUGUGGAGGUUAGCGGAAUAUGUAAUGUAGCGGUGAAAUGCUUAGAUAUGACAUAGAACACCAAUUGCGAAGGCAGCUGGCUAGACAAAUAUUGACACUGAUGCACGAAAGCGUGGGGAGCAAACAGG